rnacentral:rRNA from 2 species
CAAAAAGUUUUAAGCGGGCGGGACGGGUGAGUAACACGUGGGCAACCUGCCUGUAAGACUGGGAUAACUUCGGGAAACCGGAGCUAAUACCGGAUAAUCCUUUUCCUCUCAUGAGGAAAAGCUGAAAGACGGCUUCUCGCUGUCACUUACAGAUGGGCCCGCGGCGCAUUACCUAGUUGGUGAGGUAACGGCUCACCAAGGCAACAAUGCGUAGCCAACCUGAGAGGGUGAUCGGCCACACUGGGACUGAAACACGGCCCAAACUCCUACGGGAGGCAGCAGUAGGGAAUCUUCCGCAAUGGACAAAAGUCUGACGGACCAACGCCGCGUGAGUGAUGAAGGUUUUCGGAUCGUAAAGCUCUGUUGUUAGGGAAAAACAAUUACAAAAGUAACUGCUUGUACCUUGACGGUACCUAACCAAAAAGCCACGGCUAACUACUUGCCACCAGCCGCGGUAAUACGUAGGUGGCAAGCGUUGUCCGGAAUUAUUGGGCGUAAAGCGCGCGCAGGCGGUCCUUUAAGUCUGAUGUGAAAGCCCACGGCUCAACCGUGGAGGGUCAUUGGAAACUGGGGGACUUGAGUGCAAAAAAGAAAAGUGGAAUUCCACGUGUAGCGGUGAAAUGCGUAAAGAUGUGGAGGAACACCAGUGGCGAAGGCGACUCUUUGGUCUGUAACUGACGCUGAGGCGCGAAAGCGUGGGGAGCAAACAGGAUUAGAUACCCUGGUAGUCCACGCCGUAAACGAUGAGUGCUAAGUGUUAGAGGGUUUCCGCCCUUUAGUGCUGCAGCAAACGCAUUAAGCACUCCGCCUGGGGAGUACGGCCGCAAGGCUGAAACUCAAAGGAUUUGACGGGGGCCCGCACAGCGGUGGAGCAUGUGUUUAAUCGAAGCACGCGAGAACUUACAGGUUCUGACAUCUCUGACACUCUAGAGAUAGACGUUCCCUCGGGGAAGAGUGACAGGUGUGCAUGAUGUCGUCAGCUCAUGUCUGAAUGUGGGUAGUCCGCACGAGCGCACCUGAUCUAGUGCAGCAUAGUUGUCAUCUAGGUACUGCGUGACACCGAGAGUGGGUAUGCUCAUCUCAUGCCUAGACUGCUAACGUCUCAUGAUGUCAAGCACACGAGUCCAGCAU